UCCGAGUUGACCCCGGCAGUCUCCUGCGAGUCCCCGCCGUUACGCGCUCGCAAUUUAGCCCAGGUAAGGUUCUUCGCGUUGCAUCGAAUUAAGCCACAUGCUCCACCGCUUGUGCGGGCCCCCGUCAAUUCCUUUGAGUUUCAUUCUUGCGAACGUACUCCCCAGGUGGUAUGCUUACUGCGUUAACUGCGUCACUGCCCCCGAAGGGACAACAACUAGCAUACAUCGUUUACGGCGUGGACUAC
rnacentral:misc_RNA from 1 species